ensembl:lncRNA
GUCAAUGGGUAGCACUUAGCUUUGAAAAGGUUGCUCUGCUUGUCACAGUGCCACAGACAUGUCAGACAUGUCCCUCUUCCUGCAUCUCCUGAGUGAUCCAUUAGACUUAAGACUCCUCAUUAAUGACCCCAAAACACAUCACUGCUAUAACAAGACAGCGCACAACACGAAAGGGACAGCAAAUGAAUAAAAGUGACUCAAAAUAUAUAUUGCAGUGUUUAAAAAAAAAAAAAAAAAAGCUCAGAUAUUUUUGCACCCAUUAAAAAAAAAAAAAAAAAAAUAGCAAUCAAUGUGACAAGUUGAAAUAAGAAGUUAAUGUGAAACAGGUGAGGCAAUCAUCUAAUGAUAGUAUACAAGGAGUCUCCAAAAAAGUCUUUCAAGAGCAUGGAUGGGUCGAGGCUCGCCAAUCUGCCAACAGAUGCGUCAGCAAAUAAUCCAACACUGUGAGAACUACAUUCCCCAAAGACAAAUCGAUAGGAUUUUGGGGAUUUAACCUUUUACAGUGGACAAUAUAAUUAAAAGAUUCAAUGAAUUCAGUCAAAUCUCGGUGCAUAAAGGGCAAGGCAGAAAACCACUUCUGAAUGCGCGUGAUCUCCGAUCCCUCAGACGUCACUGACUUAAAAACCGUCAUGAGUCUGUAAUGGAUAUCCUGACGUGGGCUCAGGAAUACUUUGGUAAACCUUUUUGUUAGUCGACACCAUUCGCCGUUGCAUCCACAGGUGCAGUUAAAGCUUUACCAUGCAAAGCAGAAGCCACACAUCAACACUGUCCAGAAUCUCCGCCGACUUCUCUGGGCUCAGUCUCAUCUGAGAUGGACAGAAGUACAGUGGAAUCAUGUUUUGUGGUCCGAUGAGUCGACAUUUCAAAUAAUUUUUGGACAAAACAGCUGUCGUGUUCUCGGGGUCACUACAUUCACUAAUUACAUAAGACAUAAGAGAGUGUAAAUGAAAUAAAUAAUUGUUUUUUAUGAAUAUCUGUAAAAACUCUUUUUUCAUGACCUUCAAAUAAGUCAUUUACACACCGGUCAAAAGUUUAGACACACUCAUUCUUCAUUUAUUUUUUCCCCACAUUUUAGAAUAAUAAUAAUAAUCAUCAAAACUCUGGAGUAGCACAAAUUAAACUAUGGGAAUUAUGUUUUGAUAUAAAAUCCAAAAUAAAUCAAAAUAAUUUAAUAUUUUAGCAUCCUCGGAGUAGACACCCUUUUUUGCCUAGAAUUUCCAGAAAUGUUUUCUUGGUAUUUUCUCAACCGAAUUCUUGAGGAAUCCCCCUGAGAAUAUUUCGUUCCAAGUCAUCCGUUUAAAAAAAUAAUAAUAAUAACAAAUUGUUAGUUUUCUAAUGAAAGAAAUGAAUAUGUUCUAUUUUUGUCUACAAUAUAGAUCUCAAACAUUUAAUCAUACACCUUCAGAUCAAAAGAUUUUUAACAUCAUGAGAAACAUUUCAGUCAAGUGUCUCCAAACUUUUGACGGGUAGUGUAUAUAAAUGCAUGUGAUGAAUUAGCUGUAUUAGAGGAUCUUCUACAGAAUCCUUGAUGGCUCAUGUUUAGAAAACUAGAGUCACUGAACUAUGGCCAAUUUUAUUUUCAUACAUUUAUAAGCAAUACUACAUUAUUUUUCAAAUGCUCUGUUCAAUCAGCUAAAAUUCUUUGCUGGUCCUGGAUCCACACCAUGGUCUGCAAGUUGAGGACUGGUUUGGGAACUGGGGACUGGUUUGGGAAACACUGGCUAAGCCAGUAACUUCAAAACCAAGGUCUAAGUCUCCCAAAAGAAGGUCCUACAGGCGCCCUUGUCUUCACUCCUUGAACUGACAAAUACACAAACAGUUUCUGAUAUUGAACAGCUCACAAGACAGGCUUUUAGACCUGCUGGAAUGACAGUUGGGGGAAUAGGCUGUGCAGGAACAAGGCGGGGGUUGAGAGCAGCCAUGCAACUUUAAAGAGACAACACAAUGCAAGAACAGUUUGUUUUCUGAAAGACGUGGUGAGACAGACAGAUGAAGGAGGAGCAGAGGAGGCAGAACAAGAGAAAGACAUUUCAUUUUCUUUUUACAUCUCCAAGCAAAGCUACAACUCUACAUUUUAGCAUUUUACUCCAGCUGUGAUCUAUAUCUGUCAAUAAAACCUUACAGCUCUUCAGUAUCUUUAUUAAAAUGCUGGGAAACGUCUUAUUUCCGUGUAUGAAAUCAAAUGCACAAAUUUCGCCUUAUGUUGAUUUAUGAUAUAUCAAGCACAGACUUCUACAGAACAAAGUGCAUCAAAUAAAAAGAGGCAGUUGUUUGCUGUGCAGCGGGUGCCGUCCCAGUCUUGCAGGAGGUCUGGCUUAGCUGCUUCUGCAUGCUACAAAGAGUCCAAGCACUCCAACAACAACAGAAAAAGCAAUAAAAAGCAUUCAUCAUGACGGCUCUGUGAGUGCGGCAAUUCAUUCCGAGGGCCAGCGAAAAGAAAUAUCAUCAAUAUUUGACAUUGUUUUAUGGAGAAGCUACUUGAUUUCAUCCCACAACGCCAGAAAUGACCACGAAUGAUCAAUUACCAUGGCUGAGAUCUGUGUGCAUUUCUGUACACAGCUUACGUGGCUACUGUUGCCGGACACUGCUUUUUCUGCAAAUGUUUAUUCCGGCCCUUGCCAGUUGGCCAUCCACAAUAAACACAGCAUGGAAGGUGUGCAGAUUGGAGAACUGUGGGAAAGCCGGGAAUGGAGCAGUGCUGGAUUUAGGAUUUGGUAGCUGCGGUGCCUCUGCGAGUCUACAGAGGUUUGAUUUGUGGAUCCAGAAGACUAAUGAAGUGGUUAGCGUGCCACCCUGCUUCUUUUGCAAGAUCAAUUCGGCGGCGUAUGGCGGCGGCAUGUUUUAUGAAUGAUGGAGACCUCCUCAGGCCAUCCAUAUACCUGAGCCUCCAUGUCACCGUGGGGCCCCGUGGCACCGGGAGGCAGGGAUCCGGCCAUCCUUCUUGUUUGCAGCACAAUACAUUACGGCAAGCAGGCGACAUCAGCGCUAACUGCUGAGAAAGACAGAAAAUAGUUAAUGACUUUGUGAUCUCCUGCUGGAAGCAUUCAAAAGGAU